rnacentral:rRNA from 1 species
GACGAACGCUGGCGGCGUGCUUAACACAUCCAAGUCGAACGGAAAGGCCCUGCUUUUGUGGGGUGCUCGAGUGGCGAACGGGUGAGUAACACGUGAGUAACCUGCCCUUGACUUUGGGAUAACUUCAGGAAACUGGGGCUAAUACCGGAUAGGAGCUCCUGCUGCAUGGUGGGGGUUGGAAAGUUUCGGCGGUUGGGGAUGGACUCGCGGCUUAUCAGCUUGUUGGUGGGGUAGUGGCUUACCAAGGCUUUGACGGGUAGCCGGCCUGAGAGGGUGACCGGCCACAUUGGGACUGAGAUACGGCCCAGACUCCUACGGGAGGCAGCAGUGGGGAAUAUUGCACAAUGGGCGGAAGCCUGAUGCAGCAACGCCGCGUGCGGGAUGACGGCCUUCGGGUUGUAAACCGCUUUCGCCUGUGACGAAGCGUGAGUGACGGUAAUGGGUAAAGAAGCACCGGCUAACUACGUG